rnacentral:tRNA from 1 species
AAACAGUUAGCUCAUUGGUAGAGCGCCACGCUUUUGUGGGGGGUAAUCGGUUCGAGUCCGAUACUGGUUC